GGGUUGUGAGGUUAAGCGACUAAGCGUACACGGUGGAUGCCCUGGCAGUCAGAGGCGAUGAAGGACGUGCUAAUCUGCGAUAAGCGCCGGUAAGGUGAUAUGAACCGUUAUAACCGGCGAUUUCCGAAUGGGGAAACCCAGUGUGAUUCGUCACACUAUCAUUAACUGAAUCCAUAGGUUAAUGAGGCGAACCGGGGGAACUGAAACAUCUAAGUACCCCGAGGAAAAGAAAUCAACCGAGAUUCCCCCAGUAGCGGCGAGCGAACGGGGAGGAGCCCAGAGCCUGAAUCAGCAUGUGUGUUAGUGGAAGCGUCUGGAAAGGUGCGCGAUACAGGGUGACAGCCCCGUACACAAAAGCGCAUGUGCUGUGAGCUCGAUGAGUAGGGCGGGACACGUGGUAUCCUGUCUGAAUAUGGGGGGACCAUCCUCCAAGGCUAAAUACUCCUGACUGACCGAUAGUGAACCAGUACCGUGAGGGAAAGGCGAAAAGAACCCCGGCGAGGGGAGUGAAAAAGAACCUGAAACCGUGUACGUACAAGCAGUGGGAGCACAGGUUUACCUGUGUGACUGCGUACCUUUUGUAUAAUGGGUCAGCGACUUAUAUUCUGUAGCAAGGUUAACCGUAUAGGGGAGCCGGAGGGAAACCGAGUCUUAAUUGGGCGUUAAGUUGCAGGGUAUAGACCCGAAACCCGGUGAUCUAGCCAUGGGCAGGUUGAAGGUUGGGUAACACUAACUGGAGGACCGAACCGACUAAUGUUGAAAAAUUAGCGGAUGACCUGUGGCUGGGGGUGAAAGGCCAAUCAAACCGGGAGAUAGCUGGUUCUCCCCGAAAGCUAUUUAGGUAGCGCCUCGUGAAUUCAUCUCCGGGGGUAGAGCACUGUUUCGGCUAGGGGGCCAUCCCGGCUUACCAACCCGAUGCAAACUGCGAAUACCGGAGAAUGUUAUCACGGGAGACACACGGCGGGUGCUAACGUCCGUCGUGAAGAGGGAAACAACCCAGACCGCCAGCUAAGGUCCCAAAGUCAUGGUUAAGUGGGAAACGAUGUGGGAAGGCCCAGACAGCCAGGAUGUUGGCUUAGAAGCAGCCAUCAUUUAAAGAAAGCGUAAUAGCUCACUGGUCGAGUCGGCCUGCGCGGAAGAUGUAACGGGGCUAAACCAUGCACCGAAGCUGCGGCAGCGAACGUAUCACCCAAGACAACUUUACGGAGUUGACGAUUGACGGAGCGAAGCGACGUCAAAGCGUUCAUUAAAGUCGAGUUGGCUUAGGGAUACGUUCGUUGGGUAGGGGAGCGUUCUGUAAGCCUGUGAAGGUGUGUCGUGAGGCAUGCUGGAGGUAUCAGAAGUGCGAAUGCUGACAUAAGUAACGAUAAAGCGGGUGAAAAGCCCGCUCGCCGGAAGACCAAGGGUUCCUGUCCAACGUUAAUCGGGGCAGGGUGAGUCG
rnacentral:rRNA from 1 species